AGAGUUUGAUCCUGGCUCAGGACAACGCUGGCGGCGUGCCUAAUACAUGCAAGUCGAACGGUAACAGCAAUGUUAUAGUGGCGAACGGGUGAGUAACACGUUGGUGACCUGCCCCAAAGAUGGGAAUAUCACCUGGAAACGGGUGGCAAAACCGAAUAAGCUUAUCUGAAUUAGAAAAGGAUAAGUAAAAGCGCAAGCUACUUUGGGAGGGGCCUGCGGCCCAUCAGUUAGUUGGUGAGGGUAACGGCCCACCAAGACGAAGACGGGUAGGGGACCUGAGAGGGUGGUCCCCCACAAUGGAACUGAAACACGGUCCAGACUCCUACGGGAGGCAGCAGUGAGGAAUAUUGGACAAUGGCCGGAAGGCUGAUCCAGCCAUGCCGCGUGCGGGAAGACGGCCCUAUGGGUUGUAAACCGCUUUUGUUGGGGAGCAAUAAGGUCCACGUGUGGAUUGAUGAGAGUACCCAGCGAAUAAGCAUCGGCUAACUCCGUGCC
rnacentral:rRNA from 1 species